rnacentral:rRNA from 1 species
CAGCAGCCACGGUAAUACGAAGGGGGCUAGCGUUGCUCGGAAUUACUGGGCGUAAAGGGAGCGUAGGCGGACUGUUUAGUCAGAGGUGAAAGCCCAGGGCUCAACCUUGGAAUUGCCUUUGAUACUGGCAGCCUUGAGUACGGAAGAGGUAUGUGGAACUCCGAGUGUAGAGGUGAAAUUCGUAGAUAUUCGGAAGAACACCAGUGGCGAAGGCGACAUACUGGUCCGUUACUGACGCUGAGGCUCGAAAGCGUGGGGAGCAAACAGGAUUAGAUACCCCAGUAGUCCCUGUCUCUUAUAC